GGAGUGUUGCCCGAGUGGGAAGGGGCCGGUUUGCUAACCCGAGGCUAGCGGAGACGCUGCGGUGGUUCGAUCCCAUCACACUCCGCCA
rnacentral:tRNA from 1 species